GUGGGGAAUAUUGGACAAUGGGCGAAAGCCUGAUCCAGCAAUGCCGCGUGAGUGAUGAAGGCCUUAGGGUUGUAAAGCUCUUUUACCAGGGAUGAUAAUGACAGUACCUGGAGAAUAAGCUCCGGCUAACUCCGUGCCAGCAGCCGCGGUAAUACGGAGGGAGCUAGCGUUGUUCGGAAUUACUGGGCGUAAAGCGCACGUAGGCGGUUACUAAAGUCAGAGGUGAAAGCCCGGGGCUCAACCCCGGAACUGCCUUUGAAACUAGGUAACUGGAAUCUUGGAGAGGUCAGUGGAAUUCCGAGUGUAGAGGUGAAAUUCGUAGAUAUUCGGGAGAACACCAGUGGCGAAGGCGACUGACUGGACAAGUACUGACACUGAGACACGAAAGCAUGGGGAUCAAACAGGAUUAGAUACCCGUGUAGUCC
rnacentral:rRNA from 1 species